rnacentral:rRNA from 1 species
GACGAACGCUGGCGGCGUGCCUAAUACAUGCAAGUAGAACGCUGAAGGAGGAGCUUGCUCUUCUGGAUGAGUUGCGAACGGGUGAGUAACGCGUAGGUAACCUGCCUGGUAGCGGGGGAUAACUAUUGGAAACGAUAGCUAAUACCGCAUAACAGUAGAUGUUGCAUGACAUUUGCUUAAAAGGUGCAAUUGCACCACUACCAGAUGGACCUGCGUUGUAUUAGCUAGUUGGUGGGGUAACGGCUCACCAAGGCGACGAUACAUAGCCGACCUGAGAGGGUGAUCAGCCACACUGGGACUGAGACACGGCCCAGACUCCUACGGGAGGCAGCAGUAGGGAAUCUUCGGCAAUGGACGGAAGUCUGACCGAGCAACGCCGCGUGAGUGAAGAAGGUUGUCGGAUCGUAAAGCUCUGUUGUAAGAGAAGAACGAGUGUGAGAGUGGAAAGUUCACACUGUGACGGUAUCUGACCAGAAAGGGACGGCUAACUACGUG